CAGACAAAUCACAUGUCAUGUAUAGUAGAACCUACCACCUGGUCUGAUAGCUGCAGUAGGUAGGGCUUAUUUACCCUGCCUUGACCCAACCAUGGGCUGUAGGCUCCUUAGCUGUGUGGCCUUCUGCCUCUUGGGAGUAGGCCCUUUGGAGACCGCUGUUUUCCAGACUCCAAAGUAUCAUGUCACACAGGUGGGAAAUGAAGUGUCUUUCAAGUGUGAGCAAAAUCUGGGACAUGAUACUAUGUACUGGUACAAGCAAGACUCCAAGCAAUCGCUGAAGAUUAUGUUUAGCUACAAUAAUAAGCAGCUCAUUGUAAAUGAAACGGUUCCAAGUCGCUUCUCACCUCAGUCUUCAGAUAAAGCUCAUUUGAGUCUUCGUAUCAAGUCUGUAGAGCUGGAUGACUCUGCUGCUUAUCUCUGUGCCAGCAGCUAA